rnacentral:rRNA from 1 species
GAUGAGCGCUGGCGGCGUGCUUAACACAUGCAAGUCGAACGGAGAUCAUUUUAAUGAGGCUUCGGCGGAUUUGAUCUGAUCUUAGUGGCGGACGGGUGAGUAACGCGUGGGUAACCUGCCUUAUACAGGGGGAUAACAGCCGGAAACGGCUGCUAAUACCGCAUAAGCGCACAGAGGCGCGUGCUUCAGUGUGAAAAACUCCGGUGGUAUAAGAUGGACCCGCGUUGGAUUAGCUAGUUGGCAGGGCAGCGCUACAAGGCGACGAUCCAUGGCCGGCCUGAGAGGGUGACGGCCACAUUGGGACUGAGCACGGGCCCAGACUCCUACGGGAGGCAGCAGUGGGGAAUAUUGCACAAUGGGGGAAACCCUGAUGCAGCGACACCGCGUGAAGGAAGAAGUAUCU